UGCCCCCAGCCCAUCAGUGUCCCCCAGGCCUGCAGCAGGCCCAUGUGGUACCAAUAACUCAGGAAUUGGAGCGACUAGCUGGCAGGACCACUUCAGAACACCCUCACAUCCACACAGCAUUCUGCUUCCUUCCAGGCUAAGCAAAUAUGCUGCAAGUUUGCAGAAUGAGAGAGAGAGUGCCUCGCCUAACAUCUGGCCACAACAUGUUCCUGGCAGGUAUGGGUCUGAGAGCUGCAUGCAUCAUUAGAGUCAUCAACAAGCAAAGACCAGGGCCCAGUUCUCCAGCGGGUGAAUGACCGACAGUCACCAAGGUUACAGGCCCGCAUGGUGGAGGGUUUGGGUCCGCUGCACUUGUACGCCGGCUG